GGAAGCCACUCUUGGCCGGUGCUGGGCCUGGUCUUCAAAACCAGUGUGUGGUGCGUAUGCGUCACCGUGGGUUCGACUCCCACUGGCUUCCGCCA
rnacentral:tRNA from 1 species